rnacentral:lncRNA from 1 species
AUUCCAUGCAGCAGGGCAACACUAAUAAAAGCUUAGAGAAGAGAAAGAGAGAAACAAGAGACAAAGGGACAUUCCAGAUGUCGUUCAGACAUCUGUGCCAGACACCUGUUAAGUGCUGCCCACGUGGGUCAGUGUGGCCAGAGGGCUGAGAGCAAGGGCGUUUCGGCAGGAUCUGAAAUCACCCGGAUGCCAGGACUCAGAGCCCAUAGCCUGUGUGAAAUUUGCUGGACAGGGCUUUGUUCCAAGAGCAGCAGGAAAACAUUUUGUUGCAUGCUUUGGUGCAGGUGAGAAGUGACCUGUGGUUCUGAACAGUUUAAGAUGUAGAAUGAAUGGGAAUGGACAACUAAAAAUAUUCCCUGGGAGGAGGGGAGAGGGGAUCAGCGCAGGAGCUCAGGUUUCUGCCGCGAGCAAGCAACACCAGAGAGGGAGCUGCUGUGGGGAGGAAGACACUGCGUUCCAGGUGCCCACAGGACUUUCAAACAAAUGUGGCCAGGAGAGAGUUGGAACUGUGGGUCCGGGACUCAAGGGUGGGUUUGGGCUGGAGAACAGUUUGGGGGAGUCAUCAACCCACAGACAUGUCAAGGCUACUGGACCUCUUGCCUACCAUCAUCCCUUUCCCUUCCAGUAGGAGCACCUGGAUUUUCUUCUCACCCCACCCCCAUCAGCAUGCUCAGUCCGUGUGGUCCAGGCUCAACCUUGUGGUAAAGAACCUUUGCAUUUAUUUUCUGCUGCUCAAGAAUACCAGCUCUUUGAGGAAAAGGACUUUGGUUGUUUCAUUCCGUGCCUAUCGCCAGCUUCCAAAACACUGCUCAGCACACAGUAGGUGCUCACCAUUUGUUGGAUAAAUAAAUAAACAAUGAGAUCAGGCUGUGAAACCAGGGGAAUCUAGGCUGGGAUUCUGCCCCACCCUCCUUCCAGCCACGUGACCUUGGAUGACCAAGUGAUAUGGUUUGCUGUGUCCCCACCCAAAUCUCAUCUAGAAUUGUAGCUCUCAUAAUUCCCACGUGUUGUGGGAAGGACCCGGCAGGAGAUAACUGGAUCAUGUGGACGGUUUCCCCCAUACUGUUCUCGUGGUAGUGAAGAAGUCUUACGAGAUCUGAUGGUUUUAUAAGGGGAAACCCCUUUUGCUUGGCUCAUUUUCUCUCUUGACACCACCACGUAAGGAGUGCCUUUCGCCUUCCACCAUGAUUGUGAGGCCUCCCCAGCC